UACCAGCACCCCGAGUGGUCGGGACGUUUAUUGGGCCUAAAGCAUCCGUAGCCGGUUCUACAAGUCUUCCGUUAAAUCCACCUGCUUAACAGAUGGGCUGCGGAAGAUACUAUGGAGCUAGGGAGGCGGAGAGGCAAGCGGUACUCGAUGGGUAGGGGUAAAAUCCGUUGAUCCAUUGAAGACCACCAGUGGCGAAGGCGGCUUGCCAGAACGCGCUCGACGGUGAGGGAUGAAAGCUGGGGGAGCAAACCGG
rnacentral:rRNA from 1 species